GAUGGUGGCCGAACUGACUGGUCAGAUGGAGAAAUUGAAGACGUUGCUGAAGGAGAAGAACAAUGAGCUCCUAUAUGCCCGCUUAACCAAUGGUUACAUCAUAGAUCAACUCGACAAGGCUCAAGAACAAAUUGAAGAACUCAAGGUCCUGGCGGGUUUGAAGAGGUCUAAACUGGAGGAGGUGUUCGGAGAAGAUGACGGGAAUU
rnacentral:lncRNA from 1 species